UAUACAUGCAUGUCGAGCGGAGUUCUUCGGAACUUAGCGGCGAAUGGGUGAGUAACACGUACUUAACAUGCCUUUUAGAUUGGGACAACGAUGAGAAAUUAUCGCUAAUACCGGAUACUUAUAUAGUUCGCAUGAACUAUAUAUAAAAGAAGCCUUUAAAGCUUCACUAAAAGAUUGGGGUGCGGAACAUUAGCUAGUUGGUAAGGUAAUGGCUUACCAAGGCGAUGAUGUUUAGCGGGGUUGAGAGACUGAUCCGCCACACUGGGACUGAGAUACGGCCCAGACUCCUACGGGAGGCAGCAGUAGGGAAUUUUCCACAAUGGACGAAAGUCUGAUGGAGCGACACAGCGUGCAGGAUGAAGGCCUUCGGGUUGUAAACUGCUGUUAUAAGGGAAGAAAAAGCAGUAGAGGAAAUGCUAUUGCCUUGACGGUACCUUGUCAGAAAGCAACGGCUAACUAUGUGCCAGCAGCCGCGGUAAUACAUAGGUUGCAAGCGUUAUCCGGAAUUAUUGGGCGUAAAGCGUCUGUAGGUUGUAUGUUAAGUCUGGCGUGAAAACUUGGGGCUCAACCCCAAAUUGCGUUGGAUACUGGCAUGCUAGAAUUGUGUAGAGGUUAGCGGAAUUCCUAGUGAAGCGGUGAAAUGCGUAGAUAUUAGGAAGAACAUCAACAUGGCGAAGGCAGCUAACUGGGCACAUAUUGACACUGAGAGACGAAAGCGUGGGGAGCAAACAGGAUUAGAUACCCUGGUAGUCCACGCUGUAAACGAUGAUGAUUAGCUGAUAGUAUAACUAUCGGCACAGCUAACGCAUUAAAUCAUCCGCCUGAGUAGUAUGCUCGCAAGAGUGAAACUUAAAGGAAUUGACGGGGAUCCGCACAAGCGGUGGAGCAUGUGGUUUAAUUUGAAGAUACGCGUAGAACCUUACCCACUCUUGACAUCUUCCGCAAAGCUAUAGAGAUAUAGUGGAGGCUAACGGAAUGACAGAUGGUGCAUGGUUGUCGUCAGCUCGUGUCGUGAGAUGUUCGGUUAAGUCCUGCAACGAGCGCAACCCUUGUCCUUAGUUAAUUUUCUAGGGAGACUGCCCGAGUAAUUGGGAGGAAGGUGGGGACGACGUCAAAUCAUCAUGCCUCUUACGAGUGGGGCAACACACGUGCUACAAUGGAUGGUACAAAGAGAAGCAAAACGGCGACGUCAAGCAAAUCUCAAAAAACCAUUCUCAGUUCGGAUUGUAGUCUGCAACUCGACUACAUGAAGUCGGAAUCGCUAGUAAUCGUAGAUCAGCUACGCUACGGUGAAUACGUUCUCGGGUCUUGUACACACCGCCCGUCACACCAUGGGAGCUGGUAAUGCCCGAAGUCGGUUUUGUUAACUACGGAGACAACUGCCUAAG
rnacentral:rRNA from 1 species